UACGUAGGGGGCAAGCGUUGUCCGGAAUUAUUGGGCGUAAAGAGCUCGUAGGCGGCUUGUCGCGUCGACUGUGAAAACCCACGGCUUAACCGUGGGACUGCAGUCGAUACGGGCAGGCUAGAGUUCGGUAGGGGAGACUGGAAUUCCUGGUGUAGCGGUGAAAUGCGCAGAUAUCAGGAGGAACACCGGUGGCGAAGGCGGGUCUCUGGGCCGAUACUGACGCUGAGGAGCGAAAGCGUGGGGAGCGAACAGG
rnacentral:rRNA from 1 species